UACGUAGGGUGCGAGCGUUAAUCGGAAUUACUGGGCGUAAAGGGUGCGCAGGCGGCGUCGCAAGUCAGGCGUGAAAUCCCCGGGCUUAACCUGGGAACUGCACUUGAAACUACGAUGCUGGAGUAUGGCAGAGGGAGGUGGAAUUCCACGGUGUAGCGGUGAAAUGCGUAGAGAUGUGGAGGAACACCGAUGGACGGAAGGCAGCCUCCUGGGCCAAUACUGACGCUCAUGCACGAAAGCGUGGGGAGCAAACAGG
rnacentral:rRNA from 1 species